rnacentral:lncRNA from 1 species
AGGCUCCCGCAGAGGCUCCGGCUGUGGUCGCAGCAGGCUGGAGAGGCUGAAGAGAGUGCUGGAUACGCUGACCAGCAGCCAAUCCCCGUCCAGGGCCCGCGGGCAGUUCUGCUCCGGACUCAGACUUCUAGCCCACUUCGCCGAGGCAGGGAACGGGAUGAAGCGGCUCAUCUCGCAGUGUGGGGCGGAGGCGCCUGCGGGGUACCGCCUGAAGGCGGCCAGGAGCAUUCCCGCCGGGUCUGCAGAACCGAAAAGGGUGUAACGGUAGCCCGGACUGGAAAUGUGCUGACUACACACAGGCCGGAAGGCACAAACUAGCAAAGUAGUGAACGACUUAGAGAGCAUCCAAACGUAUUUACAAAAGGGAAAACUGAGGCCCAGCGUCCCUGCGUGAGCUAAGAGGAGGCGACAGAUGCAGGCUGGGGUGAGGAACUGGAAAUUCCCCGAUCUGGUCAGGUGAGGGCGUGACUGCGCGUUGGAGGAACGCCGCCCACAGGGGCCAAACAGAGUUGCCGAAACCCUGUCUGUAGCUCUCCAGCCACUCCUCGCCCUGCACCCACCCCCUUGGCUCACCGGACUGCGCCAACUUUGAGCCCUUUAUCAGCCUAGACUCCGCCCUCCUGCUGUGCCCUCUCCGCGCCACCUCCCUUAAAACCACACUCCCGCGUUCCCAGACCUGUGCCAGGUCCCAGCAAACAGAGGGGUGUUGGGAAGCCAAGUGAAGUGACCAAUAAAUAUUUUAAUCACCGUUAAAAAUUAAGACCUA